AUAAUUCAUCAAAUGAUGARAUACCAAUGCAACAGAGUCAAGCUCUGAGUUUCAAAAAGAAACAUGGACGAGAUUGCUUUUUUAUUUACUGACCAUGAUUAU
rfam:Saccharomyces cerevisiae FostersO chromosome XIV FOSTERSO_c14_87, whole genome shotgun sequence.